GAGUACUAUGAAUAUUUAAAAAUUUAAAACUCAAAGAACUUGGCGGUGUUUUAGACCAUUCAGGGGAACCUGUCUCGUAAUCGAUAAUCCACGUUAUACCUGACCUCUUUUUGUUUUCAGUUUGUAUACCGUUGUCGUCAGGUAACUUUUUAGAAACUAGAAGUUAGCAGUGGAAGUAGUUGAUAAUUUAGUACGUCAAAUCAAGGUGCAGCUAAUAGAGAGGGGAGGAUGGGUUACAAUUAUCAUAAUUUAUAAAUUACGGAUGGACGUAUGAAUAUAUGUUAAACUUUAAGGCGGACUUGAAAGUAAAUUGUAAUAUAUAAGCAAUUUGAAUUAGGCUCUGAAACGUGU
rnacentral:rRNA from 1 species